rnacentral:misc_RNA from 1 species
GAUGAAGAACGUAGCGAAAUGCGAUAAGUAAUGUGAAUUGCAGAAUUCAGUGAAUCAUCGAAUCUUUGAACGCACAUUGCGCCCGUCAGUAUUCUGGCGGGCAUGCCUGUUCGAGCGUCAUUACGCCCCUCAAGUCCCCUGUGGACUUGGUGUUGGGGAUCGGCGAGGCUGGUUUUCCAGCACAGCCGUCCCUUAAAUUAAUUGGCGGUCUCGCCGUGGCCCUCCUCUGCGCAGUAGUAAAACACUCGCAACAGGAGCCCGGCGCGGUCCACUGCCGUAAAACCACCCAACUUUUUAUAGUUGACCUCGAAUCAGGUAGGACUACCCGCUGAACUUAAGCAUAUCAAUAAGCGGAGGA